rnacentral:lncRNA from 1 species
AACUGGGAGUGGCAGUUGGUCUUGUGACUUGCACUUCCUUGCUGGCCCUGGAAGUGGAAGGAGCUCUCUUCUUGUAUCUGGGUAGAAGUGACUCUAUGCCUGAAUUUCCCAACUGAGUGCUCUCCCUGGAUUCCUGUGAUCAUGUCAUCUACAAAAGGGCUUAAGGGAAGCAGUUUGAACUGUAAGCUAAUGCAAUACUUUGAUAAAGACUGAUGUUGGACCCAACUCCAUGCACUUCAAGAACAUUUGGAGCCAUACUGGUCAUGUCACUGAAGAAUGUGAAUAUUCCCAACACAAAAUAUUCUUUCAAGAGAAAGGAGAAUAUUCUCAAAUUGGUAACUCUGAGAGAUAAUAUAUUGUUGGGCUAGAUGGAGCAGUGGAUAGAGUGCCCACCCUGGAAUCAGAGAGACUCCUCUUCCUGAGUUUAAAACUUUUAUUUUCAUUAUUUUCCCAGAUUACAUGUGGAUAUAAUUUUUAGUAAUCUUUUUUCUGAUAAUUUAUAAUCCAUAUUCUCUUCCUAUCUUCCAACCCUUCCCCCUCCCCUAGAAGUCAGAUAAUAUAAUAUAGAUUAUACAUAUGUUAUCAUAUGAUCAUAUUUUUGUGUUUGUCAUAUUGUGAAAGAAGACACGUUGUUUACACUAGAGAAAAAUUCAUGGAAGAAAUAAAGUGAAGAUGGGUAUGCUUCA